AUACGGAGGGUGCAAGCGUUACUCGGAAUCACUGGGCGUAAAGCGCGCGCAGGCGGCUUGAUAAGUUGGAUGUGAAAGCCUACGGCUCAACCGUAGAACUGCAUCCAAAACUGUCAAGCUAGAGUCUGGGAGGGGAAGAUGGAAUUAGUUGUGUAGGGGUAAAAUCCGUAGAGAUAACUAGGAAUACCAAAAGCGAAGGAGAUCUUCUGGAACAGUACUGACGCUGAGGCGCGAAAGCGUGGGGAGCAAACAGGAUUAGAAACCCCAGUAGUCC
rnacentral:rRNA from 1 species